rnacentral:rRNA from 1 species
UACCAGACUCCUACGGGAGGCAGCAGUGGGGAAUAUUGCACAAUGGGGGAAACCCUGAUGCAGCGACGCCGCGUGAGUGAAGAAGUAUUUCGGUAUGUAAAGCUCUAUCAGCAGGGAAGAAAAUGACGGUACCUGACUAAGAAGCCCCGGCUAACUACGUGCCAGCAGCCGCGGUAAUACGUAGGGGGCAAGCGUUAUCCGGAUUUACUGGGUGUAAAGGGGGCGCAGACGGCGAUGCAAGCCAGGAGUGAAAGGCCGGGGCGCAACCCCGGGACUGCUCUUGGAACUGCGUGGCUGGAGUGCAGGAGGGGGAGGCGGAAUUCCUGGUGUAGCGGUGAAAUGCGUAGAUAUCAGGAGGAACACCGGUGGCGAAGGCGGCCUGCUGGACUGCAACUGACGUUGAGGCCCGAAAGCGUGGGGAGCAAACAGGAUUAGAUACCCGCGUAAA